UACGGAGGGUGCAAGCGUUAUCCGGAAUCACUGGGUUUAAAGGGUGCGUAGGCGGUUCGAUAAGUCAGAGGUGAAAGCUAGCAGCUUAACUGUUAAAUUGCCUUUGAUACUGUUGGACUUGAAUCAGGUUGAGGUAGGCGGAAUGUGACAUGUAGCGGUGAAAUGCAUAGAUAUGUCAUAGAACACCAAUUGCGUAGGCAGCUUGCUGGGCUUGAAUUGACGCUGAGGCACGAAAGCGUGGGGAUCAAACAGG
rnacentral:rRNA from 1 species